rnacentral:rRNA from 1 species
AUUGAACGCUGGCGGAAUGCUUUUACACAUGCAAGUCGAGCGGCAGCGCGGGGCAACCUGGCGGCGGGCGGCGAACGGGUGAGUAAUACAUCGGAACAUGUCCAUUGUGGGGGAUAGCCCGGCGAAAGCCGGAUUAAUACCGCAUACGCCCUGAGGGGGAAAGCGGGGGACUUCGCAAGAGGCCUCGCGCGAAUGGGUUGGCCGAUGUCCGAUUAGCUAGUUGGUGGGGUAAAGGCUUACCAAGGCGAUGAUCGGUAGCUGGUCUGAGAGGAUGAUCAGCCACACUGGGACUGAGACACGGCCCAGACUCCUACGGGAGGCAGCAGUGGGGAAUUUUGGACAAUGGGGGCAACCCUGAUCCAGCCAUUCCGCGUGAGUGAAGAAGGCCUUCGGUUGUAAAG